GACGCAGCAUGCCGCGUGAUGAGAAGGCCUUAGGGUUGUAAAGUUCUUUCGGUAUUGAGGAAGGUUGAUGUGUUAAUAGCACAUCAAAUUGACGUUAAAUACAGAAGAAGCACCGGCUAACUCCGUGCCAGCAGCCGCGGUAAUACGGAGGGUGCGAGCGUUAAUCGGAAUAACUGGGCGUAAAGGGCACGCAGGCGGUUAUUUAAGUGAGGUGUGAAAGCCCCGGGCUUAACCUGGGAAUUGCAUUUCAGACUGGGUAACUAGAGUACUUUAGGGAGGGGUAGAAUUCCACGUGUAGCGGUGAAAUGCGUAGAGAUGUGGAGGAAUACCGAAGGCGAAGGCAGCCCCUUGGGAAUGUACUGACGCUCAUGUGCGAAAGCGUGGGGAGCAAACA
rnacentral:rRNA from 1 species